CUGGGUGGGAUCAGUAACGCAUCUCUGACAACAUGAGGACCCUCAUGAUUCCACUGUGUCUGCUGAUGCUGCUUAUCUCUGAGAAACUGAUCUCUUGUGCUCCUCCUCAUGUCAGCACUCCUCAAUGCUGCACUCAUUGUCUUCCCCCCUCGGUGAAGAUUCCAGUGCUGCGGGUUGUCGUACAGGACUACUAACAACAGCUGCUACACCAAGGCUUAUGUGUUUAAAACAAAAGCCGGGAAGGAGAUAUGUGUCAACCCAGAUCUGCCUUGGGUAAACAGGAUUGUCAAAAAGUUGAAGAAACCAGUGUGGGCUUCGAUCAACAAACACCAGCAGCACUAAUGAUAACAGAGAUGUUUUUCUGACUACCUC